rnacentral:rRNA from 1 species
GACGAACGCUGGCGGCGUGCUUAACGCAUGCAAGUCGAACGGAAAGGCCCUGCUUGCAGGGUACUCGAGUGGCGAACGGGUGAGUAACACGUGGGUGAUCUGCCCUGCACUUCGGGAUAAGCUUGGGAAACUGGGUCUAAUACCGGAUAGGAACCAUCUUUAGUGUGGUGGUUGGAAAGUUUUUUCGGUGUAGGAUGAGCUCGCGGCCUAUCAGCUUGUUGGUGGGGUAAUGGCCUACCAAGGCGGCGACGGGUAGCCGGCCUGAGAGGGUGUACGGCCACAUUGGGACUGAGAUACGGCCCAGACUCCUACGGGAGGCAGCAGUGGGGAAUAUUGCACAAUGGGCGCAAGCCUGAUGCAGCGACGCCGCGUGGGGGAUGAAGGCCUUCGGGUUGUAAACUCCUUUCGCUAGGGACGAAGCUUUGUUGUGACGGUACCUAGAUAAGAAGCACCGGCUAACUACGUG